rnacentral:lncRNA from 1 species
GAUGCAAGGAGUCAGAUCACAAUUUGUGGUAUCGAACGUUUGUUCUGUUUCUCUCACUUAGAGGUAACCAGAUUAAUAUAGGCUUGUUAUUUGCUUGUAUAUCAUUGUUUUUUACACUUGGCUAACAGCUGAACACCAAGGUCUAAUUACUCCAUGAAAUGUAAAAUUAGAAAUUCAAAGGACAUUGAUAAAUACAAACAUGAUGUACGGCUUAUGUUCCUA